CCUACGGGGGGCUGCAGUGGGGAAUAUUGGACAAUGGGGGCAACCCUGAUCCAGCCAUGCCGCGUGUGUGAAGAAGGCCCUCGGGUUGUAAAGCACUUUCAGCGAGGAAGAACGCCUGGUGGUUAAUACCCAUCAGGAAAGACAUCACUCACAGAAGAAGCACAGGCUAACUCCGUGCCAGCAGCCGCGGUAAUACGGAGGGUGCGAGCGUUAAUCGGAAUUACUGGGCGUAAAGCGCGCGUAGGUGGCUUGAUAAGCCGGUUGUGAAAGCCCCGGGCUCAACCUGGGAACGGCAUCCGGAACUGUCAAGCUAGAGUGCAGGAGAGGAAGGUAGAAUUCCCGGUGUAGCGGUGAAAUGCGUAGAGAUCGGGAGGAAUACCAGUGGCGAAGGCGGCCUUCUGGACCGACACUGACACUGAGGUGCGAAAGCGUGGGUAGCAAACAGGAUUAGAUACCCGUGUAGUC
rnacentral:rRNA from 1 species